rnacentral:snRNA from 1 species
AGCUUUGUGCAGUGGCAGCAUCUUAGCUAAUGAGGUUUAUCCGAGGUGUGAUUAUUGCUAAUUGAAACAUUCUUCCUGCA